rnacentral:rRNA from 1 species
UACGAAGGGGGCUAGCGUUGUUCGGAUUUACUGGGCGUAAAGGGCGCGUAGGCGGAUUUUUAAGUCGGGGGUGAAAUCCCGGAGCUCAACUCCGGAACUGCCUUCGAUACUGAAAGUCUGGAGCACGGUAGAGGUGAGUGGAAUUCCGAGUGUAGAGGUGAAAUUCGUAGAUAUUCGGAGGAACACCAGUGGCGAAGGCGGCUCACUGGACCGUUUCUGACGAUGAGGCGCGAAAGAGUGGGGAUCAAACAGG